UGGUCAUUUAGAGGAAGUAAAAGUCGUAACAAGGUCUCCGUUGGUGAACCAGCGGAGGGAUCAUUA
rnacentral:rRNA from 2 species